GCAUGUAGAUCUCGUGCCUGGAUCCCCUCCUUUGUAAGGAAAAUAGCAAUUAAUGUUCAAAUUAAUUGCGUUAGUAGCUUUAGACUAUCGGGUACCAGUAAAAAACGGGCCCCAAUCACCAAGUUCAUGGCACCAAAAAAAGUCAUUAGUAUAUCUUUAAUUAUACAUAAUCAUGCAAAGCUGAAUGAAGGUAUAGGGUCCCGGGUACCAGUAAAGAAUCUCGCUCCAAGCGACAAUUACCUGACACCAAAAAUCUUUGCAAUGCAAAAAUUAAACUCUCUGGUAACGAUGGGUGUAGGUGAAACACCGGUAUCCAUCUCAAACUCGGCAGUUAAGACUUCAUCGUCCAAAGGUAGUACGCGAGAAGGUCCACGGGAGAAUAGGUGGUUGCCAAAAACUAAUAGAACCAUGAAAACUAAAUAAUGUGAGAAGAAGAAAAACAAGAAACAACCAAGGUCAAGUAUAAAAGAGCAUAAGGAGGAUGCCUUGGCACCAGGAGCCGAAGAAGGACGUGGAAAGCUGCGAAAAGUUCCGGGGAGCAGCAAACAAGCAACGAUCCGUAGAUGUCCGAAUGGGGAAACCCGGAAGC
rnacentral:misc_RNA from 1 species